rnacentral:rRNA from 1 species
UACGUAGGGUGCGAGCGUUAAUCGGAAUUACUGGGCGUAAAGCGUGCGCAGGCGGUUUUGUAAGCCAGAUGUGAAAUCCCCGGGCUUAACCUGGGAAUGGCAUUUGGGACUGCAAGGCUGGAGUGUGGCAGAGGAGACUGGAAUUCCCGGUGUAGCAGUGAAACGCGUAGAUAUCGGGAGGAAUACCGAUGGCGAAGGCAGGUCUCUGGGCUGACACUGACGCUCAUGCACGAAAGCGUGGGGAGCAAACAGG